rnacentral:rRNA from 1 species
GACGAACGCUGGCGGCGCGCUUAACACAUGCAAGUCGAACGGAAAGGCCCUGCUUUUGUGGGGUGCUCGAGUGGCGAACGGGUGAGUAACACGUGAGUAACCUGCCCUUGACUUUGGGAUAACUUCAGGAAACUGGGGCUAAUACCGGAUAGGAGCUCCUGCUGCAUGGUGGGGGUUGGAAAGUUUCGGCGGUUGGGGAUGGACUCGCGGCUUAUCAGCUUGUUGGUGGGGUAGUGGCUUACCAAGGCUUUGACGGGUAGCCGGCCUGAGAGGGUGACCGGCCACAUUGGGACUGAGAUACGGCCCAGACUCCUACGGGAGGCAGCAGUGGGGAAUAUUGCACAAUGGGCGGAAGCCUGAUGCAGCGACGCCGCGUGCGGGAUGACGGCCUUCGGGUUGUAAACCGCUUUCGCCUGUGACGAAGCGUGAGUGACGGUAAUGGGUAAAGAAGCACCGGCUAACUACGUGCCAGCAGCCGCGGUGAUACGUAGGGUGCGAGCGUUGUCCGGAUUUAUUGGGCGUAAAGGGCUCGUAGGUGGUUGAUCGCGUCGGAAGUGUAAUCUUGGGGCUUAACCCUGAGCGUGCUUUCGAUACGGGUUGACUUGAGGAAGGUAGGGGAGAAUGGAAUUCCUGGUGGAGCGGUGGAAUGCGCAGAUAUCAGGAGGAACACCAGUGGCGAAGGCGGUUCUCUGGGCCUUUCCUGACGCUGAGGAGCGAAAGCGUGGGGAGCGAACAGGCUUAGAUACCCUGGUAGUCCACGCUGUAAACGGUGGGUACUAGGUGUGGGGUCCAUUCCACGGGUUCCGUGCCGUAGCUAACGCUUUAAGUACCCCGCCUGGGGAGUACGGCCGCAAGGCUAAAACUCAAAGGAAUUGACGGGGCCCCGCACAAGCGGCGGAGCAUGCGGAUUAAUUCGAUGCAACGCGUAGAACCUUACCUGGGUUUGACAUGGAUCGGGAGUGCUCAGAGAUGGGUGUGCCUCUUCUGGGGUCGGUUCACAGGUGGUGCAUGGCUGUCGUCAGCUCGUGUCGUGAGAUGUUGGGUUAAGUCCCGCAACGAGCGCAACCCUUGUUCACUGUUGCCAGCACGUUAUGGUGGGGACUCAGUGGAGACCGCCGGGGUCAACUCGGAGGAAGGUGGGGAUGACGUCAAGUCAUCAUGCCCCUUAUGUCCAGGGCUUCACGCAUGCUACAAUGGCUGGUACAGAGAGUGGCGAGCCUGUGAGGGUGAGCGAAUCUCGGAAAGUCGGUCUCAGUUCGGAUUGGGGUCUGCAACUCGACCUCAUGAAGUCGGAGUCGCUAGUAAUCGCAGAUCAGCAACGCUGCGGUGAAUACGUUCCCGGGGCU